CACAUGAAAAGCCACAAUCAAAAUUUCCCCACAUACACAUACUCACGCACUUGCGAAGGUAUUUAAAGAGAGAAUUUCCAAACGAGACACUGACAGACAAUUCACAACACAGUGAGUUUAGCAUCGAAAAUAAAUUUUUCCCGACGACUUAACCUUUAAAAAAGUGUUGCAUUCACUCGUCAACUUCAGAGACAUUCACUUUCUGUUUUCAUUUGGAAGAUCGACGAAAGAUUAUUAUUUUUGGAAGUAGAAUUUGGAUUUUGAAGACAAAUUUUUAAUUCAAAGAAGUAAAAAAUUCAGAGAUAUACAUACGUAUCUCUCCCUAUAUAUAUUUAUAUAUAUACGCAUUUACAUACAAGAAAGGAGUCAUAUAUACACUCAGUCACAUUGAUAUAUAUAUAACGAUAUAAAUGAAUAAUUCAACAUGACUAUCGUUAUUGUAAGUCCUGCUCGUUUUUACUUUUCUCUCAACAUGGAGCUGAACAAGUCAGAAUCCUCACCUCUUCUUUCCACCAAAUUCACAACCAAAGGAGGACCGGGGCGAUAUUUCUUACAGAGAAUUGAUAUCACAACUGGUUUACCAACAACUACAACUGUAUCGCGAACAACCGAAGCAAGCUUCUCGACGCAUACGACGCCGCCGCCUGGAUAAGUUUAAACAUCGAUAAAAACCAGGAAAAUAAACUUUAUUGAGCAUCAUUAAGUUUUUCAGCUGAUGGAAUAUUAAACAAAAAUAUAUCCAUAUUGCGAAAGCUGAAAGUAUCUGCCGGGUCAAGAAGAACUGGAAGAGGCCGAAAACGAAAGCGAAAGGCAAAGAACCCCAGUCAACUGCAACGGUUCAACAAUGUUCUAACUUCCACGCGAUGCCAGAUGGAAGACUUAUCGCCUUAGAACAGAGCCAACCGGAAUGGAGCCAAGCAGUCUACAUGGAAAGAAUGAAAUGUUCGAGAUAAGUUACCGUUUUGAAAUAUAAACUAACUUCUACGUGAAUAUUUCAUUUACUUAUUAUUAUUACCAUUAUGAGCAGAUGCAUUGAGAGCAGUGGUAUUGCCACGUCGUCGCUGUGGUAUUGCCAAGAUCAAGGCUUUGGGAUUCUCCUGUGCUAACUGCAAACGACGUCUGUUGACUCCUUCACCGAAAAGUCAGUUGUUACCCCUGUAGAAAGUAGAGGUCUACACUGUUGGCGGAACAUGACGAAGAUGUUGUGAUUGGGAGGCUGGAGAAGUCCCAACGAAGCGAACACCCAGACAGAGCAUGAUGAUGAUUUGGAACCACCUCAAGAGCAACCUUGUAUUUUCACACCUUGUAUUGCACACACGCACGCACUCACAACUGCCCCCUGAAUUACACCAGUGAAAUAACAAACACUAUGUGAAGACGACCACAACUUUGUACACUCUACCACACACACACACACAUAUAAUAUAUAUUAUAUAUAUAUAUAUGAAUGCAUAUA